GACGAACGCUGGCGGCGUGCUUAACACAUGCAAGUCGAACGGUGAAGCGCCUUCCUUUUUGGUGGGUGUGGAUGAGUGGCGAACGGGUGAGUAACACGUGAGUAACCUGCCCCCUUCUUCUGGAUAACCGCAUGAAAGUGUGGCUAAUACAGGAUAUUCUGGGUCUGUCGCAUGAUGGGUCUGGGAAAGAUAUUGUUUCGGUGGGGGAUGGGCUCGCGGCCUAUCAGCUUGUUGGUGGGGUGAUGGCCUACCAAGGCGGUGACGGGUAGCCGGCCUGAGAGGGUGGACGGUCACACUGGGACUGAGACACGGCCCAGACUCCUACGGGAGGCAGCAGUGGGGAAUAUUGCACAAUGGGCGCAAGCCUGAUGCAGCGACGCCGCGUGAGGGAUGGAGGCCUUCGGGUUGUGAACCUCUUUCGCCAGUGAAGCAGGCCUGCCUCGUUUGCGGGUGGGUUGACGGUAGCUGGAUAAGAAGCGCCGGCUAACUACGUG
rnacentral:rRNA from 1 species